rnacentral:rRNA from 1 species
GUAGGUGAACCUGCGGAAGUGAUCAU